rnacentral:rRNA from 1 species
AUACGGAGGAUCCGAGCGUUAUCCGGAUUUACUGGGUUUAAAGGGUGCGUAGGCGGGCGCCUAAGUCAGCGGUGAAAUGCAGCGGCUCAACCGUUGAACUGCCGUUGAAACUGGGCGCCUUGGAUGCGGUCGAGGCCGGCGGAGUGCGUGGUGCAGCGGUGAAAUGCUUAGAUAUCACGCAGAACGCCAAUUGCGAAGGCAGCUUACUAAGCUACAACUGACACUGAAGCACGAAAGCGUGGGGAUC